UGAUCGCCACCCCCCUGCAGUGAGGACUGCUAUUACCAUCUCCUCCAUAUGUCCCUGGUCUCUGUUGCUCCUCAGGGGCUGUGGCAGAUGCUUUGAAUUUGCAUCAGUUUUCAAAAGUAGGCAAGUAUGCCACAGCAGGAGCGGCGGGCAGCAGCAAUGACUCCGGGGAGCGGACAGCAGCAGUGGCAGCGGGCAGAGACUCUGUGAAGCAUGGGCAGCGGGGAUCAGGCAGCGGAUCAUCUCCCACUGUGAAAAAAAGUAAUAUCCUGCAGCUGGACCAUGGAUACUGUCACCAUAGCAGCUGGAAGAUGAGAGAGGCGGGCCCCAUGGAAACUGUUACCAAGGCGAUGAGAACUGCAGCAUCCUUGCUAUCUGAACUGACUUAUAUAAUCACUAGAGUGCAUACCUCUCAAACAGACUUGUUACCAGAUAAAAUGCUGGCAGCACGAGCAGGACUCAUAUUACAAAUCUUGAAAUGAAA